CAGCCAUUCAUGUGACGAAAGCAGAGUAUUAGCUUUUUUGAUGCACUUAUAGUGGGUAAUUUUCUUGUUUUCCGAACACAAAAUGGUUUUUGCAUUUACGUUAAAUUAAAAGGUGCAAUGAUCGCACCAUUUUGAUGUGUUGUAGCACACCUGGGUAUUUGGAGUGUAGCAGAGCAUGCGAUCAUUAUGUUGACUCUGUUGUAAAGUUAGUGUAACAGGUGUGUGGAAAUUAUUAUAAAGAAGCCAUCAUUAAAAGAACUUAAUCAACACACAAUCAACUAUAUAUUCAUACCACGACAUCAAUUUCGAAAGCGUGAAAGGGAGCACACUAGAGUACGAACCCUAUUGUCGUUAGACUAUUUAACAUGGAUUUCACUUGCGCGAAACAAUGCCUUCCUUUUUAUUGCGAGUGAUUUGACCUAUGUAAAAUAAUGUACCAGUUGUAUAUUAUUCAACUAGUACAAUAAUCUCAUUUUCGAAUUAAAAUUUGAACUGAA